rnacentral:rRNA from 1 species
AGGCACCAAUCAAAGGUAUUGUAAUAAGGCUUUAAUUGAAUGCUAAAAGAAUGGACUUACCAAGGAAAUUCUAUCUUAAAUUUAAUAAUUGAAGUUAUUUUUAUUUGUGAAGAAACAAUUAUUAAAAUUAAGGACAAGAAGACCCUAAGAAUUUAUAAAAUAUUAUGUAUGUAUUUGUAAAUUAUAUUUACUAAUUGGGGCGAUUAAAGGGGAAACUAAACUUUAUAUUUUCUUUAUUGAUCCAUUAUUAAUGAAUAAAUGAAUAAAAUACGCAAAGGAUAACAGCGGAAUAAUUUUGGAUAAUUUUAUAGAAAAAAUAGUUUGCGACCUCGAUGUUGGAUUAGGAUUCUAAUUUAAUGAAGAAUUUAAGAUUAGAAGUUUGUUCAACUUUUAAAAUCCUUCAUGAUCUGAGUUCAGACCGG